AGCAGCCGCCACGGGAAUACGGAGGGUGCAAGCGUUAAUCGGAAUUACUGGGCGUAAAGCGCACGCAGGCGGUCUGACAAGUCAGAUGUGAAAUCCCCGGGCUUAACCUGGGAACUGCAUUUGAAACUGUCAGGCUGGAGUCUUGUAGAGGGGGGUAGAAUUCCAGGUGUAGCGGUGAAAUGCGUAGAGAUCUGGAGGAAUACCGGUGGCGAAGGCGGCCCCCUGGAUAAAGACUGACGCUCAGGUGCGAAAGCGUGGGGAGCAAACAGGAUUAGAUACCCCAGUAGUCCCUGUCUCUUAUAC
rnacentral:rRNA from 1 species